GCCUGAAUUAACCUGGAGAGGAAGCAGUGGCUAACUCCGUGCCAGCAGCCGCGGUAAUACGGAGACUGCAAGCGUUACUCGGAUUUACUGGGCGUAAAGGGUCCGUAGGCGGCCGUGUGUGUCGGGUGUGAAAUCCUGCAGCUUAACUGUAGCAUUGCGCCUCGAAACUACACGGCUAGAGUAUUGGAGAGGUGAGUGGAAUUCCAGGUGUAGCGGUGAAAUGCGUAGAUAUCUGGAGGAACACCAACGGCGAAGGCAGCUCACUGGACAAUGACUGACGCUGAGGGACGAAAGCGUGGGGAGCGAAAGGGAUUAGAUACCCCUGUAGUCCACGCCGUAAACUUUGUGCACUCGCUAUUGGCGGAUUCGACCCCGUCAGUGGCCAAGCUAACGCGAUAAGUGCACCGCCUGAGGACUACGGCCGCAAGGCUAAAACUCAAAGGAAUUGACGGGUCCCCGCACAAGCGGUGGAGCAUGUGGCUUAAUUCGAUGCAACGCGAAGAACCUUACCAGGUCUUGACAUGUAGCGGACCGGGGCAGAGAUGCCCCUUCUCUUCGGAGCCGCUUCACAGGUGCUGCAUGGCUGUCGUCAGCUCGUGUCGUGAGAUGUUCGGUUAAGUCCGUCAACGAGCGCAACCCCUGUCCUUAGUUGCCAGCAUUCAGUUGGGGACUCUAAGGAGACAAUCCCGCUUUUGCGGGAGGGAAGGUGGGGAUGAUGUCAAGUCAGUAUGGCCCUUACGGCCUGGGCUGCACACGUGCUACAAUGCCCGGUACAAUAGGUCGCUACUCCGCGAGGAGAUGCUAAUCCAGAAAGCCGGGCCCAGUUCGGAUUGGAGUCUGCAACUCGACUCCAUGAAGUCGGAAUCGCUAGUAAUGGCGCAUCAGCAAUGGCGCCGUGAAUACGUUCCCGGGGAUUGUACACACCGCCCGUCACAUCAUGAAAGCCGGUUUCGCCCGAAGUACGUGCGCCAACCCUCGUGGAGGCAGCGUCCGACGGU
rnacentral:rRNA from 1 species